GACGAACGCUGGCGGCGUGCCUAAUACAUGCAAGUCGAACGCUGAAGGAGGAGCUUGCUUCUCCGGAUGAGUUGCGAACGGGUGAGUAACGCGUAGGUAACCUGCCUGGUAGCGGGGGAUAACUAUUGGAAACGAUAGCUAAUACCGCAUAACAGUAGAUGUUGCAUGACAUUUGCUUAAAAGGUGCAAUUGCAUCACUACCAGAUGGACCUGCGUUGUAUUAGCUAGUCGGUGAGGUAACGGCUCACCAAGGCGACGAUACAUAGCCGACCUGAGAGGGGGAUCGGCCACACUGGGACUGAGACACGGCCCAGACUCCUACGGGAGGCAGCAGUAGGGAAUCUUCGGCAAUGGACGGAAGUCUGACCGAGCAACGCCGCGGGAGUGAAGAAGGUUGUCGGAUCGUAAAGCUCUGUUGUAAGAGAAGAACGAGUGUGAGAGUGGAAAGUUCACACUGUGACGGUAUCUUACCAGAAAGGGACGGCUAACUACGUG
rnacentral:rRNA from 1 species